GGCUACGGCCAUAUCACGAUGAAUGCACCUCAUCCCGUCCGAUUUGAGAAGUUAAGCUUCGUCGAGCCACAUCAGUACUGAGGUUGGAGACAACUUUGGAACCUGUGGUGCUGUAGUCU
rnacentral:rRNA from 1 species